GCUUUUUGUAAUAACAAGACUGUCCCUGGAAAAUCGGGAUACUUGGAGGAAUGUUUGAAGCAUUCAGUCCAGCCACUCUACAAUAUUAACAGAUGCAGAGUCAGACAGAAAACCUAUUGAUCAAAAGUGAUAUAUCCAGAAGCAACAUACUGUUUACAGCAAUGACUGGACAUAUGCAUGCAGUUCAGUAUAUGAAUGCUUGCACACAUCUCAACAUAUGCACCAAAAGAACGAGAACACCUAGA